CACUCCUGCGGGAGGCAGCAGUGGGGAAUUUUGGACCAUGGGCGAAAGCCUGAUCCAGCAAUGCCGCGUGAGUGAAGAAGGCCUUCGGGUUGUAAAGCUCUUUUGUCAGGGAAGAAACGGUGAGAGCUAAUAUCUCUUGCUAAUGACGGUACCUGAAGAAUAAGCACCGGCUAACUACGUGCCAGCAGCCGCGGUAAUACGUAGGGUGCAAGCGUUAAUCGGAAUUACUGGGCGUAAAGCGUGCGCAGGCGGUUUUGUAAGUCUGAUGUGAAAUCCCCGGGCUCAACCUGGGAAUUGCAUUGGAGACUGCAAGGCUAGAAUCUGGCAGAGGGGGGUAGAAUUCCACGUGUAGCAGUGAAAUGCGUAGAUAUGUGGAGGAACACCGAUGGCGAAGGCAGCCCCCUGGGUCAAGAUUGACGCUCAUGCACGAAAGCGUGGGGAGCAAACAGGAUUAGAUACCCUGGUAGUCCCAUGA
rnacentral:rRNA from 1 species